UCCCUCCUCUUGGGCCUGUGAUCCCUCAUCUGGAAGGGAGAAGAGUGAACUUCUUGCCUGGAGGACACCUUGGUGAACUGCUCUUUACGAUUUCUGUCAUGAGAAAGUGUGCAGUUUAGGGAAAAAGCAUGUGAGCUUUGGAAUCAGAUGGAACUGGGUAUAAAUUUCAGCUUAGUGACCUUGGGCCAGUUUCCUCUUCUCAUUUGUAAGAUGGGGAUGCUUGUUGGAUGAAAUGUGGUGCUAGUAGGUACACAUGCCUGGUUGCUGCUCAAGAAGCAGAGCUAUUAUUAUUUACAUUGUAAUUUGAACUUCAUUCAUUCACCCCAUACUGAUGAGCAGCCACAGGCUCUCCUCCCACAGGGCUUAUCUUCAGAAUGUUCUCCAUGCCCCUUACCUUCUGGUAGGCAUGUUCAAAAGCACCUUCUGUGCUAAGGACCAGGGAUCUGGAGAUGAAGACAGAGUCCUGUCCACUGAGGGGUUCACAUUUUUCCAUCAAACGUUCUGAUCCCCUGUUUCUUUCUUCUCAUCUCCUCCUCCAAUCCCCCUGGGCUGGGGCACUUCCUCUGCACUAUCUCUCUGAAAGCAGGGAGGUGAUUCCAACCUCCUCCAGUCCCCUGCCAGGUAUCCUGAGCUUGAGAGCUCCUCAGAGCAUGGUCUGUAGUUACCUUCUCACUUAAAGGCCAGACUGAGAUGCUCACCACCUGUCAUUGCCUGGAUGGAGGGGAGAGGCCAAACUCUUCCCAUGGCCUCCUUUUGCCUCUGUGAAAACUUCAGAUCUUUGCUCCUGACUCCUUUUAGUGUGUGCCUUUUUGUAUUUCAGCUUCUCCCAGCCAAAAGAAUAAAACUUGUGAGAGGAAGGAAAACGCAGCCUCACUGAGGAGGCCUCCUUUCUGGAAGGGCUUCCCAGGCCCAGAGAAGGGAGAAAGUAAUUUGGAACCACCCAGGUAUUGGUGAUGCCAGGCCUCACCUUGCCCUAGGGAUAUCUGAAUCUCAAAAAGGGAGCUUGGGGAUCUGACAUAGCACUUGCAUGUAUAAAACGAAUGCCUCCAAAUCCACAAGGCAAAAACCCCAGUAAAUACGUCGGCCCAAAACGUAGAAGAGCCACAUCACAAAGGAGGUCCUCCAAAUGGCCAAGAAACACACGAAAAGACAUUCAGCCUCAUUAGCCAUCAGGGAAAUUCAAAUUAGAACUACAGCGUGAUGGCUGAACGUGCAAAGACUGACAAUAUCAAGUGCUGGUGAGGAUGCGGAGGAACUGGAACUCUCCCAUGCUGCUGGAGAAAGGGUAAAUUAAUACCAUCCUUUGGAAGAACACUUUGGAAGCAUCACUAAAGCUGAACAUAUUCAUGCCUACUCCAGAAAUUCUAAGCCCAGUGGCUCCCUUUGAAGAACUGCCUUGGGGUGCGUGUUGCAGCAUCAAACAGGGAUGGAAGAUGCUUCUUGCUUUAGCAGCAGGAGCCUGGAAAGCAGCUGAAGUCCCGGAGGGUGCCUGGCACACAGAAUCUUGUGCAGAGCCUGGAGCACAAUUGGAGUGGGCUGUGGAGGGGGGGUUCACAGCUGGACUGGGAGCAACAUACAUAAAGCUGUAGGCACAGACACAUAAAUACAGUCAUGCAGAUUGCAGGAUGCCUGAGAGCACAGACUCUCACAUGCACAAUCGCGUACGUCAUCACCAACGUGCAUCCAGACAGCAGCCCCACAUGCAUGCACACGCAUGCACACAUGUGAUGUGUGCAUAGAGGGACACACAUGUGACGUGUGCGAAGAGGGACACAAUCUAUGCCCACAAACACCACAGAGACACACACAAAAGUCUCUGGCAAGGAACACAAAUUUGUCCUCAAGUUUCUGCCAGCGAGAGUCUACUGAUUCCAUCUCUGAAGUAUCCCUACUUAUUGUCCCUGUUCUCCACCUGUGCCACAGCCCUAGUCCCUGACACUCCCACUGAGACCACUGAGCAACAGCAAACUCAGGACAGGAUUCCUGCUGCUUCUCUGCCGCACCCUUAAGCCCAUCCUCCAUGCAAGAGCAGGAGUUAUCUGGGUAUCGGGCAAAUCUGACCACAUCACCCCCCCACUGCUUAAAACCCUUUCCUGCAGGAUAAAGUUUGAAUCACUUGGCAUUUCAUGUAAGGCCCUUGACUGUCUCUGGCCUCAGCCCCUGGCUUGGAGCCCCCUGCACUCAGCGCUCCAGCUGACGGCCUCCAGGAUGAAAGCAUCCUGCGUAAAGCCUCAUGCUUUUGCUGUUGCUGGACUUACUAUGUGAAAUCCCCUCCUCCCUCCUUCCACCUUCCCUAUGCUGAACUGCCACUUCUCCAUCCUCCGCGGUCAGCUAAGCCAACGCCUCCCCACUUCACCCUGACAACCCCCCUGGUCGUCAAAGCCCUUUCUUGGGCUCUCAGUGGUAUCAUUGUCACCUGCGUGCUCAUGAGCCUCCCCCACUCAACUUCAAGCACAUCAGAUACAGAGCCCAAAACAUACUGGGUACUCAACAAAUUUCUGGGUGUGAGUGAAUAAAUGAAUCCAUCUGUAAGACAGGAUCACAGUAGGUGAUUGUUCUGGAGACAAAGCCUGGGCAUGUGCUCUACGUCACUCCUGUGAUCUCAGCCUCCACAUGGGUAAAAGGGCUCUCUACCUCCCGGCAGAGUCGAUGGUACAGACCGUGGAGAUGUACACAAAUAACCGAGCUGAGCGGCUAGCAUGGUGGGCGCUCUGUAGAUGACAACCAGAGUUGCUGUCUUUAACUUCUAUUUUUAUUUCCACCAAAGCCUUUCCACUCCCGUUUCCUAAUUCUCCAUUUCCCUCACUGCCUAUCCAGUUUAGUGCUGGGCUCCCAGAGCCGGCUUAUGAAGGUAUGUUGUCAGAUUGAUCAGCUGAAUGGCUUCUUAAGACUUGUUUCUAGUCUGAGAACUCUGAGCUGAGUACUGCUCUUCCUCCCUCCUGGCCUCCCCUGAGACUGGAAGAGAGCUGUACAGAGCUGUACGGAGAAUGCUCCUCCUCCGGGAUCCAGAAGCUGAACAGCUGCUCCGUUCGGAGUUCUGUGCACCGAGCUGAGUUAGGACCUGGGGGGACGGGAGCAGCUGAGCCUUUCUGCUCCAAAAGGCAGAGUCAUUUCAGCCAGCCACCCAGCAGCUGCCUAGCCCCUCCCAGACACCCCCAGGGAUGCUGCACAUGUGGCUAGGGUUCCCAUAGCAACCUCUGUGGAGACCUGCUGUCCCUGCUUCCCCACAUCUCCUUUUGGACUCAUGAGAGAGGUUAGGAAGAGGAGAGGAGGGGAAAGGACAGCACUGCCAGGUAUUUUUAUACACAAACACCCAGUCUCUUAAUCCUCACAAUAACUGUAAGAAGUAUGCUAUUAUUAUCCUUGUUGUUGGAAAUUGAAGCCCAAAGACAUAUAACCCAAGUUCACCCAGGUAAUAAACAAGAGAACUGGUCUGCCACCUUAUCAGUUUGUACUGAUGCAGUUAGUAUCGGUCAGUACCACCCAGGGAUCUCUGGUUGCAAGCAACAGAAACCAACUUUCAUAUCACAAACAAAACAUGUGUUCAAGGACUGUGGUGCCACACCAGAAGGAAAGGAAUAGCUGAAGACACUUGACUGGAAAGGACAGGAAGCAGGGCAGCAUCCAGGAUCUGGGUGCCAGGAAUGGACAAUCAUUGCAUCGGAAUGAAUAAACUUCUAUUUUUAAA